rnacentral:rRNA from 1 species
GCUUACGGCCAUACCACCUUGAAAGCACGACAUCUCGUCCGAUCUGUCAAGUUAAGCAACGUUGGGCCUGGUUAGUACUUGGAU